rnacentral:rRNA from 1 species
CAAGAGUUUGAUCAUGGCUCAGAUUGAACGCUGGCGGCAGGCCUAACACAUGCAAGUCGAACGGUAACAGGAAGAAGCUUGCUUCUUUGCUGACGAGUGGCGGACGGGUGAGUAAUGUCUGGGAAACUGCCUGAUGGAGGGGGAUAACUACUGGAAACGGUAGCUAAUACCGCAUAACGUCGCAAGACCAAAGAGGGGGACCUUCGGGCCUCUUGCCAUCGGAUGUGCCCAGAUGGGAUUAGCUAGUAGGUGGGGUAACGGCUCACCUAGGCGACGAUCCCUAGCUGGUCUGAGAGGAUGACCAGCCACACUGGAACUGAGACACGGUCCAGACUCCUACGGGAGGCAGCA